rnacentral:rRNA from 1 species
AGUGAACGCUGGCGGCGUGCCUAAUACAUGCAAGUCGAACGGAGUGGCGCACGGGUGAGUAAUGUAUAGCUAAUCUGCCCUCCACUAGAGGACAACAAUUGGAAACGACUGCUAAUACUCUAUAGUGUAGGAUGAGGCUAUAUUGUAUCAGCUAGUUGGUGAGGUAAUGGCUCACCAAGGCUAUGACGCAUAACUGGUCUGAGAGGAUGAUCAGUCACAGUGGAACGGAGACACGGUCGAGACUCAUACGGGAGGGAGCAGUAGGGAAUAUUGCUCAAUGGGGGAGACUCUGAAGCAGCAACGCGGCGUGGAGGAUGACAAGUUGCGGAGAGGAAACUCCUUUUGGUAGGGAAGCGGUACCUAAAGAAUAAGCACCGGCUAACUCCGUGCCAGCAGCCGCGGUAAUUC